rnacentral:lncRNA from 1 species
GUGUAUCUAUGGCAAGGGUGGGAAAAUCAGUGGAUACUCUCAGUCUCAGCCAGAGAAUUGCACAAAGCAUCCAAAGUUUUUUAUUUCGUAUACAGAUAACCUUAAACUGACCGGUAACCAUUUAUUAUUAUUAACACUCUUUGUUCCUCUACGAUUAUAAAACCAGAGCUGCCAUCUGAAGAUGAAAUCAUAGAACCACGGAAUCAUUAAGUUUGGAAAAGACCACAAAUAUCAUCUGGUCCAGCUGUCAGCCUACCACCACCAUGCCCAUGGUGCAGAGAUCAGCUUCUUCUGGAAGAAAUGUAUCUAAAAUGAGCAGAAGUGCUCUCCUGUGUAUCACGGGGACGUUGUCAUCUCCCAGGCUGUGAUAUGUGGCUAAAAAAAGAACAGAGGGCUCCUAAAAGUAGCCGAAAAGUGCAUGAUCUGUGAGUAGAGCCAGGAGACAACUGAGUCAUCUCAAGUUCUACAGAGGGCCGAAAGAGUGGUAUUGGAGUGAAUAUGAGUGCAGAGCAGGCUGUGAGCAACGGCCCCAUCUCCAUGAUUUCCAUAGUCAAGCAGAUAGUACAAGAGAUGUGUGCUUGUGCAUUUGUAUCAUUCAGACUCCAUGUUUUCAGAUUCUUUGAACGGAGAACAAGAAAAAUGAUGGAGGAAAAGGAUCAGUGAGAAAACACUUGGAAUCACACCAGCGAGAAAGCCCCUGCUUUGCUAACACUGUGGUGGUUGGCAGUGGGAAAUAACUAACCUCCUACCACAGUGAUAGCUGAUAGUUAUAGCAUGCUUAAAACAGUCAUGUAUUUUGUAUCCCACUCUCUUCCACAGAAGUCACGUUUGCCAGAAACUUAAAAAAAGAUUCAAGUAUGGUUCAUGUUUCAUUUUGCUCUGAGGUAAUUGCCAGUCAGCAGCCAUUUGUGGUCUAAGAUGACUGGAAGUUUUAAAGCAGAAUGUGGGCUUUUCCCACUUAUCUACUUACCAAAACCAACAUCUACUGGGGAAAAAAAAAUCAACACAAUAAACAACAGAACAAAACAGUAUCUCAGAGGAGUCUGGCACACAAAUGACACAGUUAAAAUGUUGCUCCACUAUUACAAUUGCUUCAGAAUGAUUACUAUCCUUCUAUUUCAUCCUCAGCUGAUUAGUCCCUAGGCUCAAUUGCUUUCAAAUGAAUAAAACACCAUCUAUUUGUGUUUUUCCUUCUGUGAGGGAAAAAAAAAAAAAAAUCUACUUAUUGUGAUAAAGAGAUUGGUUUUAUCUGUGUGGACUUUUGUUCUAAGGAAUGCAAUAAUUUUGCUGGUACUGAAAUUCCGAUUUUGAGUGUUUUUAAUUAGACUAUUGUCUACUCUGUUGAUUUGAGAAAUGGUUUGCAUAACUGACCCAAACACCUCCGGAAGCUUAAACUGAAUUUUGGAAAGCAUUACUGAAUAUUUUUCCUGUCUUCCUCCUCGCUGGACAGAAAAAGCUGAAAAGCCCCAAGCACAGUCGGAUACGCAAACCCACAAGGAUACUAGCAGCUAUGCGUUUCCCAUCACCAGUUGUUCAGGAAAUGCUGUACUUCAAAGAUAUCAGGUCAUUGCCCUUUUUCAAUACAAGGCGUUCAGAUAUAGUUUUGAAAAAUUUUCAGUUGUCAUCCAAGAUGAAUCUUAUCACGUUUACCCAUUAUUUCGAAUCAGAUCUGAAACAUGACAGGCAUAAUUUGGAUUGAGAUAUUUGGCAUUUCCCAAACCCCUGCCAUAUGUCACUCAAAGCCAUUGAUGGGCACUUCAAAGAAAACCAGCAUGCAGUUUUGAGCAGUUCUUUGCAAGUUUCUUUGUAGCAAAAUUUCCUACUUGGAAGCCCUCUAGUUAAGCUUGCAUUUCUGAUAAAUUUCCAUGCAUUAUUAACCUAAUUGGACCCAACAUAUAUUCUAAGAUUCUCAUUAAUAUUUUUAACAUGUUAUGGCAUCUUUAUCCUUGAGCAGUCAACCAAGUUUUCAUCUUCAUAAAAAUGGGUUCCUCAUAAUCGGACAAUCCAAUCAUUUCCAGUCCAUAAGGUAAAUUUCCUCUAUAUUCUUUGAUUUUGCAGGAUUUUUUUUUUUAACCAAUCAGCAUAAUACAUUUCACCCUAUGGUUUAUUUCUCCGUAAACCUUGCCACAAUUGCUGGAAGCUUCUAACUGGAAAGGAUGCCAACUUGAGCUGGAGGACACAUCUAAGAGAUGACCUCAGGCCAACUGAAAGAAGGUAGAGCAUUUUAGGAGGACCGUUCCAUUUAUUCUUGCAAUUUAGACGCUUCGCUGACUUCUGAUCAUCUUCAGAAUGGAUAAAAUGCCAAUGGACCGUACUGAAUGGUAAAUAAAUGGUACUACAGCCCACUGACUGUUAGUCGUUCGUUAAUAUAUCUGCAUAGGGAUAACACUGUGGAGACUAAAUCCUGAAUAAAACUGUCUGAGGUGAUACAAAAACGAACAUGAAAAGGAUGACCCUAAGCUAAAAAGAUUACUUGUGUUUGUUUGGCUCGAUGGCUGUAAUAGCAGCAGUAUUCAGCUGGAACAAUUAUUGGGUAGAAAAGAAGGGUUUUUUUUUGUAUAAGUUCAGAAUGCUUUCACUGUUAUUAUCUAAAAUUGAACUAUGUAUAUUAUUUUAAAUGGGUAAAUUUUUGUUUUGUAUCCAUGAAAUUGCUACCACAUUAACAAGAUUUUCCAGGCAUUAAUGGAUUGAUUUCUGUUAAAUUGUAACUAUAUUAAUUCAUCCCAAUUACCUCUAAGUAAAAUUUAAAUUAAGUUAAAUUGAAGAAAUUAAAAAUGUUUGAAAACCCUGCAUGGAAACCUUGAGGCAUCAUAAGAUUGUCAUUUCUCAUCUUUAAUGUCAUUCAUUUUGCAACUGAGAACACAACAUAAGUAGUCUCAGUUCUCACAAGAUUUGUAAGCUGCUAUUUUUCUGUACAAUUUGAAGGUAAUUUAAAGGUAUCUCAAUAAGUCCAACCUGCU